rnacentral:rRNA from 1 species
GAUGAACGCUAGCUACAGGCUUAACACAUGCAAGUCGAGGGGAAACGACAUCGAAAGCUUGCUUUUGAUGGGCGUCGACCGGCGCACGGGUGAGUAACGCGUAUCCAACCUGCCCACCACUUGGGGAUAACCUUGCGAAAGUAAGACUAAUACCCAAUGAUAUCCCACGAAGACAUCUGAAUGGGAUUAAAGAUUUAUCGGUGAUGGAUGGGGAUGCGUCUGAUUAGCUUGUUGGCGGGGUAACGGCCCACCAAGGCAACGAUCAGUAGGGGUUCUGAGAGGAAGGUCCCCCACAUUGGAACUGAGACACGGGCCAAACUCCUACGGGAGGCAGCAGUGAGGAAUAUUGGUCAAUGGGCGAGAGCCUGAACCAGCAAAGUAGCGUGCAGGAAGACGGCCCUAUGGGUUGUAAACUGCUUUUAUAAGGGAAUAAAGUGGGUCACGUGUGACUUUUUGCAUGUACCUUAUGAAUAAGGACCGGCUAAUUCCGU